ACACACAAAUUACCCCUACACACAGCGACCGACCCGAUAUCGAGACACGAGGAAGACGCCAUCAUCACCGAGACCUUGGGUGAAGCCUCUCUCUGAUGGGUAUCCAGUCCACCCAGUCAUCCCUUCAGGGACGUUAGUAGGGGUCGGUGGAGCCUAGUCUUCUCUCACCCUGGACUAAAGUGACUCCAGCUUCAGAACUGAACCAUACAGCACCACCACUCACU